UACGUAGGGUGCGAGCGUUGUCCGGAAUUAUUGGGCGUAAAGAGCCCGUAGGCGGUUCGUCGCGUCGGCUGUGAAAACCUGAGGCUCAACCUCAGGCCUGCAGUCGAUACGGGCGGACUUGAGUACUGCAGGGGAGACUGGAAUUCCUGGUGUAGCGGUGAAAUGCGCAGAUAUCAGGAGGAACACCGGUGGCGAGGGCGGGUCUCUGGGCAGUAACUGACGCUGAGGAGCGAAAGCGUGGGGAGCGAACAGG
rnacentral:rRNA from 1 species